rnacentral:lncRNA from 1 species
CGGCUUUAGGAGCAAGUGUCUUCAUGGUCUCCCGUGUUGCCAUUUCGUUGUCCUCAAACUGGAAUGCUGGAGCACAGGUUACACCGACGAAAGAGUAGUGAAGUUCAGGGUCUCUUCCUGGCGUUUUGACAAAUACACUUCCAUCUUCGGUGAAGGACUCAAUGUCGCAGGUCAAGAAGGCGCCAAACCAAACAUUUGGAGGGACUGUGUAUUGUGGCCUUUGGCCAUGCCGUAGAUCAGGUCCAACGACUGUCAUCUUGAUCUGUCCAUCGUCAUGGACCUCAAAUACCUGAAAACAUUGGGCUAGUCAGGAAGUUACUGAAGAGCGCAAGCCAUUUGAUAUUUAUGCUAAUUUGCAGACCGUGAGAGGUUCCCCCAUGUAGUAGUGCCAGGUCUCAGCACAAGGGAUGCGGUGCAACUUAGCAAUCUCUCCAGCAGGCAGCAGGAAAUAGAUGGCACUGCUCCCAGAACGGUCUACCUUAUCUAGAAGGAAUAAAACAUAAUAACAAAUUAGUGAAAACGCUAUUGCAAUAAUGUGCUAUUUCAAGUAUAAAUCUAUAGUAACUUACACAUAUUGAAAUUAGUGUUUGCAUUAUGUGAUACUCUAAAAGGGUAAGCAGACUAUGGUUAACUAGGUUAGUUUACAGCAGAUGAAAUGAGCAUGCUCUAAGAAUAGUCAAAGCUUUUGCCUGAACUUAAAAAAUCAAUAUAAGAAAGAGUAUAUUGUCAUGUGUGAGGGUGUCGCUCUGUCAGCUACUCAGCCUCUCUGGUGGUGUGUGUUACAGGAACUGAAGGUGGUCAUGCUCAUCAUCAGUGUGCUAAAUUGUAGUGUGCCAAACAAGUUAAAGAAGAACUAGCGCCCAGCUUAACCGUCAAAAAAAAAAAAACUAGCACCUAGCUUCCCGCUAUUGCUAGGCACAGCUAGUAAGAGAGCCUUGCGUACAACAUCAAUGGACCAACUUGUACCAAUUUAAGUUGUGCUAAGUUGCUAGUUGAGUCCAUGAUCACAUUGUGCCUCAUUAACACAAAACAACAAAAUCAUGAUGUAGCAGUAAUGACCAAUCAAUUUCAUGUUAGUAAUACUUCCGAACAAGUAUUCUCUUAUGCAAAACAUUUCAGCAUGGCUGUGACACCUCUGCCCUUCUGAAUCUCCUUCGAUGUAGGAACCAGUUCUUCACAAAGAAACUGCAGCAGUAAAAAAGCUCAAGAAAUGAUCCUCUCGUCGCAAGUUUAUCGAUGGACAGUCAGUAGAGAUGUCCAGAGUACAGCAUGAUUCAGAACAUCGCUAUAAGUUCAGAAACAAACAGUAAUGUUUGGAGUACUAAUGUUUGGCCCUUUUUUUAAAAUUAAUCAUGCAUUUUUUUAAUCAGAAAUUAAAUCAUCUAGUCUAAACGCUACAAAACCUGAACAAUAUUUUUGUAGUCAUCCAGUGUAGACAUCAUACACAGAGUUCAUAUCUUGUUCAUGUUGUAACCUUACUACUUCCUCCGUUUCACAAUGUAAGUCAUUCUAGCAUUUCCCACAUUCAUAUUUAUGUGCUAGAAUGACUUACAUUGUGAAACAGAGGGAGUAUUAUUGUACUAAUACACCGAAUGGGCCUUAUAAAGCCAAGUACCCCUGAAUUUUGCUAAAAUACGCACUCUAUUACAUUAUUUAGCAACAUUCCAGGCAAGAAAACAACCAGGAAUAGCAAGUUGUGCAUCUUGAAUAGUUUGGGGGAACUCAAAACCUACAAUUUUGUCUUCAGUAGAUUAUCAUUAGUUCUUUGUCUCCGAAAAUGGAUCAUAACGCACAACACCACUAAGAAGAUCUUAAUGAGCAAAUGCACUCACGCUGCUGUUUCCUGGAAUAAAUCGAACUAAACACCGAGGACAAGAAUUCACAGUUAUUUGUCAGUGGAAAUGAUAUCUAAUUGAAGAAAUCACUACUCCACCAACGCGACAUCAUCAAUAAACCAGGGGAAAAAAAACUUGAAGCUGCAGUGGUGGAAGAACCAAAAGCUUACAGCGUGGAGGGAGCGCGGACUUGGGGAGGGAGAUGGAGGGGUCGCGGAAGGUCUCCAGGUAGAAGCCGCCGUCGGGGUGGCGCUGCAGAUCCAGCAUGGCGACGAUCUCCGCCGCCGUCUUCUUCUCCACGCUCGUGAGCGCCAUGGAUUCUUCUCUCCUCUGCUCCGCCUUCUGUCCGAGGCUUCCAGCCGCUUCUAGAUUCUUCGAAUCAGGUGUUUCCCUUCUCCAGCUGGGUUCAUCUCGACCGUCGAUCACCAAAUAUGGCCUUGUUUAGUUCCCAAAAUAAAUUUUUUCACGCUGUCACAUAGAAUGCUAUAUUUGGACAUAUGUAUAGAGUAUUAAAUGUAGGAAAAAACAAUUGCACAAAUUACGUGUAAAUUACGAGACGAAUUUUUUAAACCUAAUUACGCCAUGAUUUGAUAACGUGGUGCUACAUUAAAAAUUUACUAAUGACAUAUUAAUUAGGCUUAAUAAAUUCAUCUCGCAGUUUUCUGGCAAAAUCUGUAAUUUGUUUUGUUAUUAGACUACGUUUAAUACUUCAAAUGUGUGUUUGUAUAUCCGAUGUGACGACCAAAACAUUUCGCCAACUAAACCGAAGAUCUUGUUUCUGUAAGUGGUACUCGUGCUUUUAUCCUUUGCUAACUGCACAAAGGGUCUCAUCGGUUGCUCUGAACUGAUUAUAAGCCAUGACAGUUUAUUAGCGGCUAAAAAAGUUGAAAAUAUCUUAAAAUCUAGUUUUAAAUUUUAAAUUUUGGUUUUUGCUUUGGGUUUUUAGACAACAAAUGAGGGAGCAGAGAAAUUGGGCUAAGAACAGAGACUUAGGGCAAUAUUAGAGGUUGAUUACCAAAGAGGAUACAUUUGGGAGCAGAGAGAAGAAUGGGACAGAUGAGAAUAGGCCUUGAGAAGAAAAGUGGUUCUGCCAGGAGAAACAAACUGAAUAUUUCCGAAAAAAUAGUGAGAAACUAUGUCACCAAACCAAUACUAAAUACUACUAACUGGUCAGUGAUGAUACAUGCAAGCUUCAGGCCUCAGGGUUUCUGCCCUGCAAACAUCAGUAGCUUGGUACAUACAGUUCAUUACGUAGAGCGAGCUACUUGGAGUGGAAUAAAACUCAGUCUGAAGGCACAAGGUAGUUGAUGAAAGCUUCUGCUUUAGGAGCCAAAGCUUUCAUGCUCUCCCGUGUUGCCAUUUCGUCGUCUUCAAUCUGGAAUGCUGGAGCACAGGUUACACCGACGAAAGAGUAGUGCAGCUCAGAGUCUCUUCCAGGCGUUUUGACAAACACACUUCCAUCUUCGGUGAAGGACUCGAUGUCGCAGGUCAAGAAGGCGCCAAACCAAACAUUUGGAGGAACUGUGUAUUGUGGCUUUUGGCCAUGCCGUAGAUCAGGUCCAACAACUGUCAUCUUGAAUUGU